UGUACAGACAAUAUUUUUUAAAUAAUAAUAAUUAUUACUCUUAUUGUUAUAUUAUUGUUAUGAAUCCAGCUAUAAUACUAUGAAUAGUACCAAGUACUUGAUUCUAUUAAAUUUUCUACCGUUAGAUCUACCAUUUUCACCAUUUUUAUCUUUUAGAUCAUAUUAUUCCAUCAACCACCCAUUAAAUUCUAGGUACUACUAUCAUCCUAACCGCACAUCCCUUCAUUCAAAGGCCAAAAACCUAAUGGCACAAAUAAUUUGAUGCGCGCUAUUAAUAGUGCAGUAGCCUAUUUCUUAUUGUUAUUAUUUUUUUUGAUUAAAUUCUUAUUGUUAUUAUUAUUAAAG
rnacentral:lncRNA from 1 species